rnacentral:rRNA from 1 species
AUUGAACGCUGGCGGCAGGCCUAACACAUGCAAGUCGAGCGGAGCGGCGGACGGGUGAGUAAUGCCUAGGAAUCUGCCUGGUAGUGGGGGAAACCGUCGGGAAAGGGGCCUUAUAACCGCAUCCUAUCAGAUAGGCCAAGGUCGGAUUAGCUAGUUGGUGGGGUAAAGGCCUACCAAGGCGACGAUCCGUAACUGGUCUGAGAGGAUUAUCAGUCACACUGGAACUGAGACACGGUCCAGACUCCUACGGGAGGCAGCAGUGGGGAAUAUUGGACAAUGGGCGAAAGCCUGAUCCAGCCAUGCCGCGUGUGUGAAGAAGGUCUUCGGAUUGUAAAGCACUUUAAGUUGGGAGGCGUUACCAACAGAAUAAGCACCGGCUAACUUCGUGCCAGCAGCCGCGGUAAUUC